UGCUGAAAGUCCCAGAGGUGAAUUACACAAUCAGAUUCUGAGGCAGUGACAGACUUUGUUUUCCUUCAAAUUUCUACUUCCUGAAACCAAGGCUCUUUAUGAUAAACAGUGUAUUUCAGGGAAAUUGUGCUAAAAUUAACCUUUUUCAGAGAUUUGCUGGCCUUAAAAGUGUUUAUCUUCGAGACAAAGUUUUAGUUACUUACAGUCAACCACUGCCAGAAGCAGAUGAUCUUCUUUAUGACGCUUCCUCACACGCCUGAGUCAUUCACCUCACUUCAUCUCAUCACAUAGACGUUUUAUUGUCUCACAUCAUCACAAGAAGAACAUUGUGAAAAAGCCUAGUAAUUCACCCAACAUGAUAGAUGGAUGACCUUUUGCUGCAUUAUAAAAGGGUCACUGUCCCCAAAGCGCCUCUCAGCUUGUGGAUCAGGUAAAGGAACAUCUCUUAAACUUUUGUGGUGCCUCUGCCCUGUCAGUUAUCACAAGGCUGUAAUUAUUGCCUAAACAUUGGCCUCCCCACAACCAUGUACUUAUGG